GACGAACGCUGGCGGCGUGCUUAACACAUGCAAGUCGCACGGGAAGGCCCUGCGUUUGUGGGGGGCUACGGUGGCGAAAGACUGGGGAACCCGUGCGUGACCUGCCGUUGACUUUGGGAUAACUUCAGGAAACUGGGGCUCGUACCGGGUAGGAGAUCCUGCUGCAUGGUGGGGGUUGGACAGUUGCGGCGGAUGGGGAUGGACUCGCCGCUUAUCAGCUUGGUGGUGGGGGAGUGGCUUACCAAGGCUUUGACCGGUAGCCGGCCGGAGGGGGUGACCGGCCAGACUGGGACGGAGAUGCGGCCCACACUCAUACGGGCGGCAGGAGGGAGGAAGAAUGCAUAAUGGGCGGAAGCCUGACGGAGCAACGCCGGGUGCGGGAUGAAGGCCGUCGGGUUGGAAGCCGCCUGCGCCUGUGAGGAAGCGUGAGUGACAGUAAUGGGUAAAGAAGCACCGGCUAACUCCGUG
rnacentral:rRNA from 1 species